rnacentral:rRNA from 2 species
AGCAGCCGCGGUAAUUCCAGCUCCAAUAGCGUAUAUUAAAGUUGUUGCAGUUAAAAAGCUCGUAGUUGAAUUUCGGAAUCAAUAUAUCGGUCGUGCCUUGGUACGUACUGGUAUCAUUGGUUUCUCCUUUCUGACGAACCAUGAUGUCAUUAAUUUGGUGUUAUGGGAAGUUAGGACUGUUACUUUGAAAAAAUUAGAGUGUUUAAAGCAGGCUUUAGCUUGAAUACAUUAGCAUGGAAUAAUGAAAUAGGACGUUCGAACCUAUUUUGUUGGUUUCUAGGAUCAACGUAAUGAUUAAUAGGGAUAGUUGGGGGCAUUAGUAUUCAAUUGUCAGAGGUGAAAUUCUUGGAUUUAUUGAAGACUAACUACUGCGAAAGCAUUUGCCAAGGAUGUUUUCAUUAAUCAAGAACGAAAGUUAGGGGAUCGAAGACGAUCAGAUACCGUCGUAGUCUUAACCAUAAACUAUGCCGACUAGGGAUCGGAUGAUGUUAAUUUUUUAAUGACUCAUUCGGCGCCUUACG